rnacentral:rRNA from 1 species
CCUACGGGUGGCAGCAGUGGGGAAUAUUGCACAAUGGGCGAAAGCCUGACGCAGCGACGCCGCGUGAGGGAAGAAGCUCUUCGGAUCGUAAACCUCUGUCCCCAGGGACGCAAAUGACGGUACCUGGAGAAGAAGCUCCGGCUAACUACGUGCCAGCAGCCGCGGUAAUACGUAGGGCGCGAGCGUUGUCCGGAAUUACUGGGUGUAAAGGGGGCGUAGGCGGGGAUGCAAGUCGGGUGUAAAAACUACGGGCUCAACUGGGAGUCGCACUUAAAACUGCAGCUCUUGAGUGAAGUAGAGGCAGGCGGAAUUCCUAGUGUAGCGGUGAAAUGCGUAGAUAUUAGGAGGAACACCAGUGGCGAAGGCGGCCUGCUGGGCUUCUACUGACGCUGAGGCUCGAAAGUGUGGGGAGCAAACAGGAUUAGAUACCCUAGUAGUC